CCCUUAGAUGUUCUGGGCCGCACGCGCGUUACACUGAUGCAUUCAACGAGCUUAUAACCUUGGCCGAGAGGCCUGGGCAAUCUUGUUAACGUGCAUCGUGAUAGGGAUAGAUUAUUGAAAUUAUUAAUCUUGAACGAGGAAUUCCUAGUAAACGCAGAUCAUCAAUCUGCAUUGAUUGCGUCCCUGCCCUUUGUACACACCGCCCGUCGCACCUACCGAUUGGAUGGUCCGGUGAAGCCUCGGGAUUGUGGUUCUUGCCGCUUUAUUGUGGCGUGACCGCGAGAACUUGUCUAAACCUUAUCAUCUAGAGGAAGGUGAAGUCGUAACA
rnacentral:rRNA from 1 species